rnacentral:rRNA from 1 species
UACGAAGGGGGCGAGCGUUGUUCGGAUUUACUGGGCGUAAAGGGCGCGUAGGCGGCCCUCCUUGUCGCGUGUGAAAGCCCCGGGCUCAACCUGGGAACGGCGCGCGAGACGGGGGGGCUGGAGUUCGGGAGAGGAGCGUGGAAUUCCCAGUGUAGAGGUGAAAUUCGUAGAUAUUGGGAAGAACACCGGUGGCGAAGGCGGCACUCUGGACAGUGACUGACGCUGAGACGCGAAAGCGUGGGGAGCAAACAGG